GACGAACGCUGGCGGCGUGCUUAACACAUGCAAGUGGAGCGACGAACCGGGGCCUGCCCCGGGGCAAAGCCGCGAACGGGUGAGUAACACGUGGGUAACCCACCUCGAUGACCGGGACAACCCGAGGAAACUCGGGCUAAUACCGGAUGUGCUCUUCUCUCAUAAGGGAGUCGAGGAAAGAUAGCUUCGGCCUUCGCAUCGAGACGGGCCCGCGGCCCAUUAGCUUGUUGGUGGGGUAACGGCCUACCAAGGCUUCGAUGGGUAGCUGGUCUGAGAGGACGAUCAGCCACACUGGGACUGAGACACGGCCCAGACUCCUACGGGAGGCAGCAGUGGGGAAUCUUGCACAAUGCGCGAAAGCGUGAUGCAGCAACGCCGCGUGGGGGAAGAAGGCCUUCGGGUUGUAAACCCCUUUCAGUUGGGACGAAGCUUCGUCGGUGAAUAGCCGGCCGGAGUGACGGUACCUUCAGAAGAAGCCCCGGCUAACUACGUGCCAGCAGCCGCGGUAAUACGUAGGGGGCAAGCGUUGUCCGGAAUCAUUGGGCGUAAAGCGCGUGUAGGCGGUUCGGUAAGUCUGCUGUGAAAGUCCAGGGCUCAACCCUGGGAUGCCGGUGGAUACUGUCGGACUAGAGUACGGAAGAGGCGAGUGGAAUUCCCGGUGUAGCGGUGAAAUGCGCAGAUAUCGGGAGGAACACCAAUUGCGAAGGCAGCUCGCUGGGACGUCACUGACGCUGAGACGCGAAAGCGUGGGGAGCAAACAGGAUUAGAUACCCUGGUAGUCCACGCCGUAAACGAUGGGCACUAGGUGUGGGGGGUGUCGACUCCCUCCGUGCCGAAGCUAACGCAUUAAGUGCCCCGCCUGGGGAGUACGGCCGCAAGGCUAA
rnacentral:rRNA from 1 species